CCUACGGGAGGCAGCAGUGAGGAAUAUUGGUCAAUGGACGAGAGUCUGAACCAGCCAAGUAGCGUGAAGGAUGACUGCCCUAUGGGUUGUAAACUUCUGUUCUUAGUGAAGAAUAAUGACGGUAACUAAGGAGCAAGCCACGGCUAACUACGUGCCAGCAGCCGCGGUAAUACGUAGGUGGCAAGCGUUGUCCGGAAUUACUGGGGGUAAAGGGAGCGUAGGCGGGAAGCCAAGUCAGCUGUGAAAACUACGGGCUUAACCUGUAGACUGCAGUUGAAACUGGCUUUCUUGAGUGAAGUAGAGGUUGGCGGAAUGCCGAGUGUAGCGGUGAAAUGCGUAGAUAUUCGGAGGGACACCGGUGGCGAAGGCGGCCAACUGGGCUUUAACUGACGCUGAGGCUCGAAAGUGUGGGGAGCAAACAGGAUUAGAUACCCUUGUAGUC
rnacentral:rRNA from 1 species